AUACGUAGGGUGCGAGCGUUGUCCGGAAUUACUGGGCGUAAAGAGCUCGUAGGUGGUUUGUCGCGUCGUCUGUGAAAUUCCGGGGCUUAACUCCGGGCGUGCAGGCGAUACGGGCAUAACUUGAGUACUGUAGGGGAGACUGGAAUUCCUGGUGUAGCGGUGAACUGCGCAGAUAUCAGGAGGAACACCGGUGGCGAAGGCGGGUCUCUGGGCAGUAACUGACGCUGAGGAGCGAAAGCAUGGGUAGCGAACAGGAUUAGAUACCCUGGUAGUCCAUGCCGUAAACGGUGGGCGCUAGGUGUAGGGGUCUUCCACGACUUCUGUGCCGUAGCUAACGCAUUAAGCGCCCCGCCUGGGGAGUACGGCCGCAAGGCUAAAACUCAAAUGAAUUGGCGGGG
rnacentral:rRNA from 1 species